rnacentral:rRNA from 1 species
UUAGAGUUUGAUCCUGGCUCAGGACGAACGCUGGCGGCGUGCUUAACACAUGCAAGUCGAACGAUGAACCACUUCGGUGGGGAUUAGUGGCGAACGGGUGAGUAACACGUGGGCAAUCUGCCCUGCACUCUGGGACAAGCCCUGGAAACGGGGUCUAAUACCGGAUACGACGCUCGCAGGCAUCUGUGAGGGUUAAAAGCUCCGGCGGUGCAGGAUGAGCCCGCGGCCUAUCAGCUUGUUGGUGAGGUAGUGGCUCACCAAGGCGACGACGGGUAGCCGGCCUGAGAGGGCGACCGGCCACACUGGGACUGAGACACGGCCCAGACUCCUACGGGAGGCAGCAGUGGGGAAUAUUGCACAAUGGGCGCAAGCCUGAUGCAGCGACGCCGCGUGAGGGAUGACGGCCUUCGGGUUGUAAACCUCUUUCAGCAGGGAAGAAGCGCAAGUGACGGUACCUGCAGAAGAAGCGCCGGCUAACUACGUGCCAGCAGCCGCGGUAAUACGUAGGGCGCAAGCGUUGUCCGGAAUUAUUGGGCGUAAAGAGCUCGUAGGCGGUCUGUCGCGUCGGAUGUGAAAGCCCGGGGCUUAACCCCGGGUCUGCAUUCGAUACGGGCAGACUAGAGUGUGGUAGGGGAGAUCGGAAUUCCUGGUGUAGCGGUGAAAUGCGCAGAUAUCAGGAGGAACACCGGUGGCGAAGGCGGAUCUCUGGGCCAUUACUGACGCUGAGGAGCGAAAGCGUGGGGAGCGAACAGGAUUAGAUACCCUGGUAGUCCACGCCGUAAACGGUGGGAACUAGGUGUUGGCGACAUUCCACGUCGUCGGUGCCGCAGCUAACGCAUAAGUCCCC